UACGGGGGGAGCAAGCGUUGUUCGGAUUUACUGGGCGUAAAGGGCGCGUAGGCGGUCAGCACAAGUCAGUUGUGAAAUCUCCGGGCUUAACCCGGAAAGGUCAACUGAUACUGUGCGACUAGAGUGCGGAAGGGGCAACUGGAAUUCUCGGUGUAGCGGUGAAAUGCGUAGAUAUCUGGAGGAACACCGGUGGCGAAGGCGGCAUCCUGGACCGGCAUUGACGCUGAGGAGCGAAAGCCAGGGGAGCAAACGGG
rnacentral:rRNA from 1 species